ACAAUCAAUAGAUUAGUGUUGGCAAGAAAUGAACUUAAAGAGACUCUCUCUUAUUUUGUGAAAUUAUAUUAAAAUCAUUUCACAAAAUAAUAAUUAGGGGUUCAAGCACAUAGCGCUGAAACCCUAUUAACUGUUAAGAUUUUCAAAGAUCACCAUUUUGACCUAAAAGUGGGUGUAGUGACCUGAAACUUUGAGGGGUGCUAGUACUACAACUACAACCUACUACAACGCCACCAAGGCUCACUCGAGUCAGCCUGAUGGGGGUGCUACAGUGAUCAAAAGUAUAAAAUCACUCAUAACUCCUAAAGCUCUUGUAGUAGACUCAAGUGUCUUAUAUCAUGGGAAUCCUUAGGUUAAGACGAACAAAUCGCAUGUGACGGAUUCGACCACUACCAGGGGGUAAAUGUUUUGCCACAUACACAUAUGUAAGACCUCAAUCUAAGCAGUGUUGGAUGUAACGCGUUACAAAGUAACGCGUUACUGUAAUAAUAUUACUUUUUUCAGUAACUAGUAGUGUAAGGCAUUACUCGUCUGAAAAUGGUAAUAUUAUUACAGUUUUCCCGAGCUAGUUACUUGCGUUACAUUUGCCAGUAGCACCUUCAUCACACACAAGGCACACAACACAGAGAACAGAAGGGAAGGGGAGGAGGGCGUGAAUGGAACAGUGAUUGGUCUGGGUUUGGCACGAGGUAUCAUUUACCAUCACCGAUUGGUCGACACCCGGCAGCCAGCAGCAGAGCGGCACCCUCAAAGACAGAUGGGGAAAAAUGGAAGCGUCAACAACGGCAAGCUCUUUUUCAGAGGAAGGAUCCCAGCAACAGAAAGCUAGUUUCGACGGGUGGAGAUUCAGUAAUUAUUUUGAAUAUGUUCAACGGAGGGAAAAUAACUUGACAGUGAAGUGCACACUCUGCCCGGGGAGAAAGCUGCUCUCCACCGCUUGUAACUCUACCUCUCCUCUGCACUGUGUUUUGCGUUUUAACAAUUUACCUCUCCUUUACACAGUGUUGUAGCCACCAGAUCCAGUCUUGUAUCCAGAUUAGAUGGUCAGAGGAGAACUGGCCCCCCAACUGAGCCUGGUUUCUCCCAAGGUUUUUUCUCCAUUUUGUCACCAGUGGAUUUUUGGUUCCUUGCCGCUGUCGCCUCUGGCUUGCUUAGUUGGGGACACUUAAUAUCAAGCGAUAUCAUCGACUGGAUUGCACAGAUACUAUUUAAACUGAACUGAGCUGGAUGAUGACAUCAUCGUAUUCAAUGAUGAACUGCCUUUAACUGAAAAUUGAGUGUUCUCUGUUGUCAUUUUUGCAUUAUUGACACACUAUUUUCCUAUUUAAAGGUGAAAUAUCAUGAAAAUCAGACUUUUCCAGGUUUAAAGUGCUAUAAUCAGGUCCCCGGUGCAUCUACCAACCAAGAUAAUGUGAAAAAGAUUAACCAAGUAAUUUUGUUUUGGUAAGCCUGUUUCUGCAAGCGUCUGAGAAAACGAGCUUGUGUGAUUUCGCUCCCUUGGUGAUGUGGCAAAGGGAUCUCAUUAUAAUAUUACCACCCCUUAAUCUGUAAGUUUCCACCCACGGUCCCGUCAUUUUGAUUUUGCAAAAGACAACGGUGUACCAGCUCUAAUGCCAUGGCGAACGUUUAAGCAAAACAUGCUAACUGUUCUGUCUUUGGCUGCACAGACGAGCACAGAACACUAUUUAGAGUCCCAGCCUCAGAGGAGACAAGAGAGCAGUGGAUUUAUUUUUUUUAUUUACAUUUACAUUUAGUCAUUUAGCAGACGCUUUUAUCCAAAGCGACUUACAAAUGAGGACAAUGGAAGCAAUCAAAAACAACAAAAGGGCAAUGAUAUAUAAGUGCUAUAUACUAUAUACUAUUUACUGUAUAUUACUGCUGCCAAACAGAUCUAAAAUAAACAUGCAAUUUAUUUCCCA
ensembl:lncRNA